AGAGUUUGAUCCUGGCUCAGAACGAACGUUGGCGGCGUGGAUUAGGCAUGCAAGUCGAACGAAUCCCAGUUGCGUAGCAAUACGUGGCUGGGGGAAGUGGCGAAAGGGGCAGUAAGGCAUGGCUAACCUACCUCGGGGAUGGGGAUAGCCUCCCUAACGGGAGGGUAAUACCCGGCGAUUUGGCGGAGGGGCAUCUCUCU
rnacentral:rRNA from 1 species